rnacentral:rRNA from 1 species
GAUGAACGCUAGCUACAGGCUUAACACAUGCAAGUCGAGGGGCAGCAUGGUCGAAGCUUGCUUCGACUGAUGGCGACCGGCGCACGGGUGCGUAACGCGUAUCGAACCUGCCCUGUACACGGGGAUAGCCUUGCGAAAGUAAGAUUAAUACCCGAUGCCAAGUUGAGAUCGCAUGAUUUUGAUUUGAAAGAAAUUCGGUAUAGGAUGGCGAUGCGUCUGAUUAGGUAGAUGGCGGGGUAACGGCCCACCAUGCCGACGAUCAGUAGGGGUUCUGAGAGGAAGGUCCCCCGCAUUGGAACUGAGACACGGUCCAAACUCCUACGGGAGGCAGCAGUGAGGAAUAUUGGUCAAUGGUCGCGAGACUGAACCAGCCAAGUAGCGUGCAGGAUGACGGCCCUCUGGGUUGUAAACUGCUUUUAGUGGGAAUAAAAGGCGGUAACGUGUACCGCGUAUUGUAUGUACCAUCAG